rnacentral:lncRNA from 1 species
AGGCCGAAACUCCGUCUGCAACCGCUACGCCGUCUCCAGCAGCCGCAGCUCCAACCGAAAUCCGGUGACUUCUAACCUUUGUUAAUUCGUUAUUUCGUAUUGCAUUUUAUUUCAUUAUUUCACAUUCCAUCCUUAUUGCAUUUUAUUUCAUUAUUUCAUAUUCCAUCCUUAGUAUUUUGCUCGUAGUAGCCCCCGUACCUUGUCUUCUGUCUGUUGUUGCUGUUGCUGUGGUCGUUUCUUAGUUUUAUUUCGGGAAUAUUACUUUGAAUGUGUGUGAGCUUUGUAUUUCCUUGCUGCUGCUUUGAUACUGUCACCGGGUUCAUCUUUAUAUUUUCCUAUACUGUCGGGUAGUUGUGGCUGUGGGUGGUAAUGGGUGGAUAGGGUCAUGUCCGAG